UACGUAGGGUGCAAGCGUUGUCCGGAAUUAUUGGGCGUAAAGAGCUCGUAGGCGGCUCGUCGCGUCGGCUGUGAAAACCUGAGGCUCAACCUCGGGCUUGCAGCCGAUACGGGCAAGCUAGAAUUCGGUAGGGGAGACUGGAAUUCCUGGUGUAGCGGUGAAAUGCGCAGAUAUCAGGAGGAACACCGGUGGCGAAGGCGGGUCUCUGGGUCGUAACUGACGCUGAGGAGCGAAAGCGUGGGGAGCGAACAGG
rnacentral:rRNA from 1 species